UACGUAGGGUGCGAGCGUUGUCCGGAAUUAUUGGGCGUAAAGAGCUUGUAGGCGGUUUGUCGCGUCUGCUGUGAAAUCUCAAGGCUCAACCUUGAGCUUGCAGUGGGUACGGGCAGACUAGAGUGUGGUAGGGGAGACUGGAAUUCCUGGUGUAGCAGUGAAAUGCGUAGAGAUGUGGAGGAAUACCGAUGGCGAAGGCAGCCCCCCUGGGCCAGUACUGACGCUGAGGUGCGAAAGCGUGGGGAGCAAACAGG
rnacentral:rRNA from 1 species